UUAAAUAGUUUAAUGAAAAUAUUGAUUUGUGGUGUCAAUGAUAAGGUCUAAUCUUUUUAAAUC
rnacentral:tRNA from 1 species